rnacentral:rRNA from 1 species
GAUGAACGCUGGCGGCGUGCCUAAUACAUGCAAGUCGAGCGAACGGACGAGAAGCUUGCUGGUCUGAUGUUAGCGGCGGACGGGUGAGUAACACGUGGAUAACCUACCUAUAAGACGGGGAUAACUUCGGGAAACCGGAGCUAAUACCGGAGAAUAUUUUGAACCGCAUGGUUCAAAAGUGAAAGACGGUCGUGCUGUCACUUAUAGAGGGAUCCGCGCUGCAUUAGCUAGUUGUGAAGUUAACGGGUUACCAAGGCAACGAUGCAUAGCCGACCUGAGAGGGUGAUAGGCCACCCUGGAACGUGACCACGGUCCAGGCUCCUACGGGACGCAGCAGUCGGGAACCUUCCGCAGCGGUCGAAAGCAUUACGGAGUAACGCCGCGCCUGUGACGACGGUCCUCGGUUCGUAAAACUCUGUUACUAGUGAUGAACAUAUGUGGACGUUACCGUGGACAUCUUGACGGUAACUAAUCAGAAAGCCCCGGCUAACUACGUG